AGAGUUUGAUCCUGGCUCAGAUUGAACGCUGGCGGCAGGCCUAACACAUGCAAGUCGAGCGGAAACGAGUUAUCUGAACCUUCGGGGAACGAUAACGGCGUCGAGCGGCGGACGGGUGAGUAAUGCCUAGGAAAUUGCCCUGAUGUGGGGGAUAGCCAUUGGAAACGAUGGCUAAUACCGCAUAAUGCCUACGGGCCAAAGAGGGGGACCUUCGGGCCUCUCGCGUCAGGAUAUGCCUAGGUGGGAUUAGCUAGUUGGUGAGGUAAGGGCUCACCAAGGCGACGAUCCCUAGCUGGUCUGAGAGGAUGAUCAGCCACACUGGAACUGAGACACGGUCCAGACUCCUACGGGAGGCAGCAGUGGGGAAUAUUGCACAAUGGGCGCAAGCCUGAUGCAGCCAUGCCGCGUGUGUGAAGAAGGCCUUCGGGUUGUAAAGCACCUUCAGUCGUGAGGAAGGUAGUGUAGUUAAUAGCUGCAUUAUUUGACGUUAGCGACAGAAGAAGCACCGGCUAACUCCGUGCCAGCAGCCGCGGUAAUACGGAGGGUGCGAGCGUUAAUCGGAAUUACUGGGCGUAAAGCGCAUGCAGGUGGUUUGUUAAGUCAGAUGUGAAAGCCCGGGGCUCAACCUCGGAAUUGCAUUUGAAACUGGCAGACUAGAGUACUGUAGAGGGGGGUAGAAUUUCAGGUGUAGCGGUGAAAUGCGUAGAGAUCUGAAGGAAUACCGGUGGCGAAGGCGGCCCCCUGGACAGAUACUGACACUCAGAUGCGAAAGCGUGGGGAGCAAACAGGAUUAGAUACCCUGGUAGUCCACGCCGUAAACGAUGUCUACUUGGAGGUUGUGGCCUUGAGCCGUGGCUUUCGGAGCUAACGCGUUAAGUAGACCGCCUGGGGAGUACGGUCGCAAGAUUACAACUCAAAUGAAUUGACGGGGGCCCGCACAAGCGGUGGAGCAUGUGGUUUAAUUCGAUGCAACGCGAAGAACCUUACCUACUCUUGACAUCCAGAGAACUUUCCAGAGAUGGAUUGGUGCCUUCGGGAACUCUGAGACAGGUGCUGCAUGGCUGUCGUCAGCUCGUGUUGUGAAAUGUUGGGUUAAGUCCCGCAACGAGCGCAACCCUUAUCCUUGUUUGCCAGCGAGUAAUGUCGGGAACUCCAGG
rnacentral:rRNA from 1 species